AUUUGCGAAAUCUGAAGGAGAGAGCGCAUCUGAACGAACGUAACGAGAGAGAAGCUUCCGAUCGAGCCACUACGGUCGUUUAGUUGUCGAGCUAAGCAGCUAGCACCGUCGCCGGAGAGUCACAGUUCAUCGGAAGAGGUGUCUUCCCUCCACCUAGCCACCCAGUCCCGACGCAGUGCUGCUUGCGAACGUGCGAUCACCGUCGGCUAGUUCUCGUGCUAACGACCCACCACCGUCGCCGGAGAGCCACAGUCAAUCGGAAGAGGUGUCUUCCCUCCACCCAGCCACCCAGUCCCGCUGCAGUGCCGCUUCAUUGCCGGUGUAAAAAGGGCAAACCCUAGACGCGGUUGCUCCGCCGUCGUGUUGUCUCCUCCCAGCCCACCGUUCUGCCGCCGUUCCAAGACAAAAUAUUGACAUUUUCUUCAGUCCACCCAACCACCCAGUACCGUCGGAGUGUCGCCGGAGCUCCGCCACAGUGCCGCCAGAGUACGUAUAUAAAAAAGUAUUUUCUUCCCUCUUUUCCUCAGAUAGAUGAUGAAUAAUUGUGUCUUUCUUUCUUGCAACACUCCUUCUUGAUCUGCAUUUCAAAUUUUAUAUCUAUCUCUUAAAAUUUUAUAUUAUGCAUUUGGUUCAACCUUUGUCUACAUUGUUGAUGAAGAGACGAGUCAAAAUAGAACACCUUACCCUUUAAUUGAAGAGAAGCCCUUGUUCGAGGAUCAGGGGUCUGCAUCGGAAGAGAACCUGGUCUCGGGUUUCCUUGGUUUCCUUUCUUGUUUCUGUUAUAAAAGAGCAUUUAGAAGGCAAAUUAGGAGUUGUUUAAUUUGAUUGACAUCCACGGUUUCAGAAAAAAAAUUAACCGAAUUCACGAAGCCAACUUCUAUUGGCAGGCGCUGGAAUCCAGUUAUACAUUCUUAAUACUGUAGGACUUAAGUAGAAAAUUUCGAAACCGGAAUGAACCAGUUAAGAUCGAAACCACACACUGUUUCACCCGCUACAUAGAGUUUCAUAGGUGGAUUGCCUGACAUUGGCUAUUUGGUUUCUGCGAAAGUGUUACAUAUAAUCUUUUACUUAAUAUUGGUUUUAAUAACAGAUGCCUGGCAGCAAAGGGUGAUAACUCUGGUGAAUGUGAGAAAUUUGUUAAAUACUACCGCUCCCUUUGCCCGGGCAAAUGGGGUCUGCAAAACAAAAUAAAUUUUUGAUUGAUAUUGAUUCGAAGAGAAAAGUUUCCUAGGAAGAACAGGAGAAUUAGAUUCCCUUGGGCAAGGCAUAGAAGAGAGAGAAAAAGAGACAUAAUAACAGUUGUUUCCGUUUGGAAACCAUUUGUCCGGUUCUUUUGGAAGAGGGAAUCCAACCAGAAGGCUAAGAUUUUAUGGGAUGAACUGCAACAGUUUAGGGAGCAAUAUAUUUGUCAAUGGAUUUUGGAUGUCGCUAAUGUGCAAAGGAAUCAAGUGUUGCAAGAUUUAGGCAUUUUGUAGAUAUUUUUGACAAUAGUGAUUUUUGCAAAGAUUGUUUGUAGAAAUAUGUCAAGAUUUAUGAAAUAUUGUUUGUAGAAAGAAAUAUGAAAAUUAGGUUCUUUUCAUGGGCAACUGAUAGGUCUCUUAUAAUUUAUAAGAGGAGAACUAAAAAUUAGGUUAUGAAUUAGGAUUGAAAUGUUCUAGCUGUUAUACUAGUUGGUUUCUAUUAGCUUCCUCACAACAGUUGCUUAAGGGUAGAAUACUAUGAUGUUAAUGUAUUUGCUUAAGGGUAAAAAGCUAAAUCUAAUAUUUCUUACUUUUAUUUGUUUUAGUGUAUUUUCUGCACUGGUGGUAAACGUUCA